rnacentral:rRNA from 1 species
UACGGGGGGGCAAGCGUUGUUCGGAAUUACUGGGCGUAAAGGGCUCGUAGGUGGCCAACUAAGUCGGACGUGAAAUCCCUCAGCUUAACUGGGGAACUGCGUCCGAUACUGGAUGGCUUGAGUUUGGGAGAGGGACGCGGAAUUCCGGGGUGUAGUGGUGGAAUGCGUAGAGAUCCGGAGGAACACCAGCGGCGAAGGCGGCGCCUGGACUGGUACUGACGCUCAGGAGCGAAAGCGUGGGGAGCGAGUCCGG